UUAAGCGACUAAGCGUACACGGUGGAUGCCCUGGCAGUCAGAGGCGAUGAAGGACGUGCUAAUCUGCGAUAAGCGUCGGUAAGGUGAUAUGAACCGUUAUAACCGGCGAUUUCCGAAUGGGGAAACCCAGUGUGUUUCGACACACUAUCAUUAACUGAAUCCAUAGGUUAAUGAGGCGAACCGGGGGAACUGAAACAUCUAAGUACCCCGAGGAAAAGAAAUCAACCGAGAUUCCCCCAGUAGCGGCGAGCGAACGGGGAGCAGCCCAGAGCCUGAAUCAGUGUGUGUGUUAGUGGAAGCGUCUGGAAAGGCGCGCGAUACAGGGUGACAGCCCCGUACACAAAAAUGCACAUACUGUGAGCUCGAUGAGUAGGGCGGGACACGUGGUAUCCUGUCUGAAUAUGGGGGGACCAUCCUCCAAGGCUAAAUACUCCUGACUGACCGAUAGUGAACCAGUACCGUGAGGGAAAGGCGAAAAGAACCCCGGCGAGGGGAGUGAAAAAGAACCUGAAACCGUGUACGUACAAGCAGUGGGAGCCUCUUAAUGGGGUGACUGCGUACCUUUUGUAUAAUGGGUCAGCGACUUAUAUUCUGUAGCAAGGUUAACCGAAUAGGGGAGCCGAAGGGAAACCGAGUCUUAACUGGGCGUUAAGUUGCAGGGUAUAGACCCGAAACCCGGUGAUUCAGCCAUGGGCAGGUUGAAGGUUGGGUAACACUAACUGGAGGACCGAACCGACUAAUGUUGAAAAAUUAGCGGAUGACUUGUGGCUGGGGGUGAAAGGCCAAUCAAACCGGGAGAUAGCUGGUUCUCCCCCGAAAGCUAUUUAGGUAGCGCCUCGUGAAUUCAUCUCCGGGGGUAGAGCACUGUUUCGGCAAGGGGGUCAUCCCGACUUACCAACCCGAUGCAAACUGCGAAUACCGGAGAAUGUUAUCACGGGAGACACACGGCGGGUGCUAACGUCCGUCGUGAAGAGGGAAACAACCCAGACCGCCAGCUAAGGUCCCAAAGUCAUGGUUAAGUGGGAAACGAUGUGGGAAGGCCCAGACAGCCAGGAUGUUGGCUUAGAAGCAGCCAUCAUUUAAAGAAAGCGUAAUAGCUCACUGGUCGAGUCGGCCUGCGCGGAAGAUGUAACGGGGCUAAACCAUGCACCGAAGCUGCGGCAGCGACACUAUGUGUUGUUGGGUAGGGGAGCGUUCUGUAAGCCUGUGAAGGUGUACUGUGAGGUAUGCUGGAGGUAUCAGAAGUGCGAAUGCUGACAUAAGUAACGAUAAAGCGGGUGAAAAGCCCGCUCGCCGGAAGACCAAGGGUUCCUGUCCAACGUUAAUCGGGGCAGGGUGAGUCGACCCCUAAGGCGAGGCCGAAAGGCGUAGUCGAUGGGAAACAGGUUAAUAUUCCUGUACUUGGUGUUACUGCGAAGGGGGGACGGAGAAGGCUAUGUUGGCCGGGCGACGGUUGUCCCGGUUUAAGCGUGUAGGCUGGUUUUCCAAGGCAAAUCCGGAAAAUCAAGGCUGAGGCGUGAUGACGAGGCACUACGGUGCUGAAGCAACAAAUGCCCUGCUUCCAGGAAAAGCCUCUAAGCAUCAGGUAACAUCAAAUCGUACCCCAAACCGACACAGGUGGUCAGGUAGAGAAUACCAAGGCGCUUGAGAGAACUCGGGUGAAGGAACUAGGCAAAAUGGUGCCGUAACUUCGGGAGAAGGCACGCUGAUAUGUAGGUGAAGUCCCUUGCGGAUGGAGCUGAAAUCAGUCGAAGAUACCAGCUGGCUGCAACUGUUUAUUAAAAACACAGCACUGUGCAAACACGAAAGUGGACGUAUACGGUGUGACGCCUGCCCGGUGCCGGAAGGUUAAUUGAUGGGGUUAGCGGUAACGCGAAGCUCUUGAUCGAAGCCCCGGUAAACGGCGGCCGUAACUAUAACGGUCCUAAGGUAGCGAAAUUCCUUGUCGGGUAAGUUCCGACCUGCACGAAUGGCGUAAUGAUGGCCAGGCUGUCUCCACCCGAGACUCAGUGAAAUUGAACUCGCUGUGAAGAUGCAGUGUACCCGCGGCAAGACGGAAAGACCCCGUGAACCUUUACUAUAGCUUGACACUGAACAUUGAGCCUUGAUGUGUAGGAUAGGUGGGAGGCUUUGAAGUGUGGACGCCAGUCUGCAUGGAGCCGGCCUUGAAAUACCACCCUUAAUGUUUGAUGUUCUAACGUUGGCCCCUGAUCGGGGUUGCGGACAGUGUCUGGUGGGUAGUUUGACUGGGGCGGUCUCCUAAAGAGUAACGGAGGAGCACGAAGGUUGGCUAAUCUGGUCGGACAUCAGGAGGUUAGUGCAAUGGCAUAAGCCAGCUUGACUGCGAGCGUGACGGCGCGAGCAGGUGCGAAAGCAGGUCAUAGUGAUCCGGUGGUUCUGAAUGGAAGGGCCAUCGCUCAACGGAUAAAAGGUACCCGGGGAUAACAGGCUGAUACCGCCCAAGAGUUCAUAUCGACGGCGGUGUUUGGCACCUCGAUGUCGGCUCAUCACAUCCUGGGGCUGAAGUAGGUCCCAAGGGUAUGGCUGUUCGCCAUUUAAAGUGGUACGCGAGCUGGGUUUAGAACGUCGUGAGACAGUUCGGUCCCUAUCUGCCGUGGGCGCUGGAGAACUGAGGGGGGCUGCUCCUAGUACGAGAGGACCGGAGUGGACGCAUCACUGGUGUUCGGGUUGUCAUGCCAAUGGCACUGCCCGGUAGCUAAAUGCGGAAGAGAUAAGUGCUGAAAGCAUCUAAGCACGAAACUUGCCCCGAGAUGAGUUCUCCCUGACUCUUUAAGGGUCCUGAAGGAACGUUGAAGACGACGACGUUAAUAGGCCGGGUGUGUAAGCGCAGCGAUGCGUUGAGCUAACCGGUACUAAUGAACCGUGAGGCUUAACCU
rnacentral:rRNA from 1 species